GCGGGCGUAGCUUAGCGGCUUAAAGCGUUGCCCUGUCACGGCAAAGAUCGUGGGUUCAAAUCCCAUCGCCCGCG
rnacentral:tRNA from 1 species